rnacentral:rRNA from 1 species
GACGAACGCUGGCGGCGUGCUUAACACAUGCAAGUCGAACGGAAAGGCCCUGCUUUUGUGGGGUGCUCGAGUGGCGAAAGGGUGAGUAACACGUGAGUAACCUGCCCUUGACUUUGGGAUAACUUCAGGAAACUGGGGCUCAUACCGGAUAGGAGCUCCUGCUGCAUGGUGGGGGUUGGAAAGUUUCGGCGGUUGGGGAUGGACUCGCGGCUUAUCAGCUUGUUGGUGGGGUAGUGGCUUACCAAGGCUUUGACGGGUAGCCGGCCUGAGAGGGUGACCGGCCACAUUGGGACUGAGAUACGGCCCAGACUCCUACGGGAGGCAGCAGUGGGGAAUAUUGCACAAUGGGCGGAAGCCUGAUGCAGCAACGCCGCGUGCGGGAUGACGGCCUUCGGGUUGUAAACCGCUUUCGCCUGUGACGAAGCGUGAGUGACGGUAAUGGGUAAAGAAGCACUGGCUAACUACGUG